AAGUGAUGUCGAAUUGCGCAAUUGUGAAUCUGAUGGUUUGCCAGCAGCAACACUAGACUUCAAAAUAGAAAGGUAGUUAUACAAUUAACUAAUAAAUGACUGUAUUUAAGGUUUUCAUUUAUUGUUAACUUGUUUAAAGUUAUACCAUUGAUUUAUUUAUUGUAUUGAGCUCAUUUCUUUUCUUGUAGAUUUAAUAGUUUGACAUUAAAAUAUUCACAAUCCUAAAGCAUAUUGGUGGAUUCUGCAUUUGUUCAAAACAAAUCAUCACCAGUUCAAAUUGUAAUUAAUAAAAUUUAUGUAAGAGACUUAAAUUAUAACUUAGGGCCCUGCAAAUUAAUUCCAUUUGCAAAUUAAGUGAUUUACGAAUGGACUCGAAAGUGACUCGACUCAAAAAAAUUAUUCAAGUUUUUUAAAUCAUUGAUCUAAAAUAAUUUUAAUAUCACAUUAGAAAAAUCACUGUAUAAUUAAUCUGCACAAUAAGUAAGUUGAAAUCCUUUUUUUUUUCGGUAAAAAAAGAUGUUUAAGUUUGGUUUUCCUUAUAUUGCUGAUUUGAUUCGUGAUUCAUUUCGAUUUGAAAAUCAUGACCUGUAAUGAUGUAGUUUAUAAUAACAAUUUAAUAAAGGCCUUAAAUUUCACAACCAGUAUUUUUAACUAAAAUUUCAUUUUCGAAUAUUUUUAUGUUUUAAAGAGGAAAAUUAUUCUACUUAGGUGAAUCUGUAAGUCUUCAGAUGGUUGCUAUUCUAUUAGCUACUGUAAUUAGCAAUCAGGAAGAUACGAAAACGACCUUAGCUAUGCAUAGGGCACAAAUUCAAUCUAUCCGUCGCAAAUUUGAUUUAAACGAUCAUAUCUCUCCAUAUCUUCAAGAAGAUAUUCCACUUCCAGCUAAGUCAAUGGAAGAAGUGGAAAUUGUAGCAAAGAGGCUGGAAAAUCCAGGAAUAAAGAAAAUAGUUGUGCCGUUAAAUUAAAUCCUAGCACGAAAAAUUGCACGCAAAAGGAAAUAAAAAAUGAACUUUCAACUUGGUUUGCAAACUCAAGGGAUCGUGGAAGUAGUAGUCGUAAAACUGCUAAAGGAGCUAUCAACGUUAACUCACCUGAACUAGAUGCUGUUUAUCUAACUCCUUCAGAAAACUUGGACAAAUUUGUUUGACGAUAUUAUUCAGUAAAUUUGGGCAAAUUUGUGUAACAUUAUUUUUUUAAUUUAAAAAUAAAUAAUGCAAGUUAAA